rnacentral:rRNA from 1 species
AAGCCUUUCAAUAGGAAGGAUACCUAUCGGUUAUACCCGGUAACUGACUUACCUAUACAGAAGCACCGGCUAAUCCGUGCCGCAGCGCGGUAAUACGGAGGGUGCAAGCGUUAAUCGGAAUUACUGGGCGUAAAGCGUGCGUAGGCGGUUAUUUAAGUCAGAUGUGAAAGCCCUGGGCUUAACCUGGGAACUGCAUUUGAUACUGGAUGACUAGAGUUGAGUAGAGGAGAGUGGAAUUUCAGGUGUAGCGGUGAAAUGCGUAGAGAUCUGAAGGAACACCAGUGGCGAAGGCGGCUCUCUGGACUCAAACUGACGCUGAGGUACGAAAGCGUGGGUAGCAAACAGGAUUAGAUACCCUGGUAGUCCACGCCGUAAACGAUGUCAACUAACCGUUGGGUUCUUUAAGAACUUAGUGGUGGGGCUAACGUAUUAAGUUGACCGCCUGGGGAGUACGGCCGCAAGGCUAAAACUCAAAUGAAUUGACGGAGGCCCGCACAAGCGGUGGAGCAUGUAGGAUAAUUCGAUGCAACGCGAAGAACCUUACCUAAC